AUGGGGUCCCUCACAGGUUCUUGGAUGAUGAACUUGUGUGGGGGUCCAGUAUGCUCCAACCAAGAUGCACUUUCAUGUGCGUUCAAGGAAGUAUUUGACUCUUCCACUUGCACGAAUCAUCUGGCGGCGACUGGCAUCGGCUUGCUGCUCGUCCUCGCGCUCGCUCUCCAGUUGGUUAUCAAAAUCCCAAAUAGUGGAGGAUCUGCUCAAGGGCUCGUCGCAGUCGGCUCACCACUGCAGUUGGCUGCAGUGGUCUUCAGUGGCUGCCUGGGACUGGUUUAUCUUGGCCUAGGACUGUCGAUGCUGGGAAGCAUCUUCAGUCAGGAUGCUGCUGCUUACCUGCCACACUGGUGGCUUGUGACAUUAUCUCAAGGAUUCAGUUUGGUCCUCUCCAGCUUUGCUUUCAGCGUCAGGCCUCGGUUUCUUGGAGCUUCGUUUGUUCCACUUUGGUCGAUUCUGGUGGUCGUGUACGCAGCAUUCAUAUGCUGUUCCUCGGUUGUUGGCAUUGUUGCAGAUAAGGCAAUCACCAUUAAGGCAUGUUUGGAUGUUCUGUCCCUACCAGCUGCAUUUCUCUUCCUACUUUAUGGCGUCCGUUGCACCCAUGAUGAAGACGGUUACCAGGCAACAGGAAAUGCUUUAUACAAGCCACUGAACACUGAGGCAGAUGGUCAGAUAGCUGAUUCUGACACUCAGGUAACUUCUUUUGCUAAAGCUGGUUUCUUCAGCAAGAUGUCAUUUUGGUGGUUGAACCAUUUGAUGAAGUUGGGUUAUGAGAAGCCUCUUGAGGACAAAGAUAUGCCACUUCUACAAACCACAGACCGAGCACAUAACCAGUACUUGAUGUUCUUGGAGAAGCUGAACAGCAAGCAGUCCCAUUCACAUGCCACUCCGUCAAUCUUGUGGACUAUUGUUUCUUGCCACAAGCGUGAGAUCAUAGUCUCAGGUUUCUUUGCUUUGCUCAAGGUGCUCACCUUAUCUACAGGCCCAUUGCUUCUCAAGGCAUUCAUCAAUGUAUCAGUUGGUAAAGGGACCUUCAAAUAUGAAGGCUUUGUGCUGGCUGCGACAAUGUUUGUUUGCAAAUGCUGUGAAUCUUUGUCGCAGAGGCAGUGGUUUUUCUGCACUCGGAGAUUAGGACUCCAGGUGAGGUCAUUCCUAUCAGCAGCUAUUUAUAAGAAGCAACAGAAGCUAUCAAACUCCGCAAAAAUGAAGCACUCUUCUGGACAGAUUAUGAACUAUGUGACUGUCGAUGCCUACCGGAUUGGGGAAUUCCCAUACUGGUUCCACCAAACAUGGACAACAAGUGUUCAACUUUGCAUUGCUCUGGCAAUUCUGUACAAUGCAGUUGGUGCUGCAGCAGUCUCAUCAUUGGCUGUCAUCAUUAUCACUGUAAUUGGUAAUGCUCCGGUGGCCAAGCUGCAACACAAAUUUCAGAGUAAGCUUAUGGAAGCUCAAGAUGUGAGAUUGAAAGCCAUGUCCGAGUCCUUAGUUCAUAUGAAGAUCUUGAAACUUUAUUCAUGGGAAGGUCACUUCAAGAAGGUCAUCGAGGGAUUGAGGGAGGUUGAGUAUAAGUGGUUGUCAGCAUUCCUGCUUAGGAGGGCGUACAACAGUUUCCUGUUCUGGUCAUCACCUGUUUUAGUUUCGGCAGCAACCUUUCUAACAUGCUAUCUUUUCAAAAUCCCUCUUGAUGCUAGCAAUGUGUUCACCACUGUGGCAACUCUGCGUCUCGUGCAAGACCCAGUUAGGACAAUACCGGAUGUUAUUGCAGUGCUGAUACAAGCUAAGGUUGGUUUCACUCGGAUAUCAAAGUUUCUUGAUGCACCUGAGCUGAAUGGACAACUUAGGAAGAAAUACCGCGUGGGCAUCGAUUACCCAAUAGUGAUGAACUCAUGCAGUUUCUCCUGGGAUGAGAAUCCAUCAAAACCAACUCUAAACAAUAUAAAUCUGGUGGUGAAAGCUGGAGAAAAGGUUGCAAUUUGUGGAGAGGUAGGAUCAGGGAAGUCAACGCUUUUGGCUGCUGUACUUGGAGAGGUCCCCAAAACUGAAGGCACGAUUGAAGUCUGUGGGAAAAUAGCAUAUGUUUCUCAGACUGCAUGGAUCCAAACAGGAACUGUACAGGAUAACAUCCUCUUCGGAUCUUUGAUGGACAGACAAAUAUACCAAGAAACAAUUGAGAGAUGCUCAUUGGUCAAGGACCUUGAAAUGCUGCCAUUCGGCGACCGCACACAAAUUGGGGAGAGAGGAGUAAAUCUAAGUGGUGGUCAGAAGCAGCGUGUUCAGCUUGCUCGUGCACUAUACCAGAAUGCAGACAUAUAUCUUCUUGAUGACCCUUUCAGUGCCGUUGAUGCCCAUACAGCAACAAGCCUCUUUAAUGAUUAUGUCAUGGGUGUUCUAUCAGACAAGACUGUUCUUUUGGUGACCCACCAAGUGGAUUUUCUACCUGUAUUUGACUCCAUUCUGUUAAUGUCAGAUGGGGAGGUUAUUCGGUCUGCACCUUAUCAAGAUUUAUUGGCAGAUUGCCAAGAAUUCAAGUACCUUGUAAAUGCACAUAAAGAUACUGUUGGUGUUCAAGAUCCUAACAGUGCUCCCCACGGAGCAAAGGAAAUACCAACAAAGGAGACAGACGGAAUUCAUGUAGACAGAUACAUAGAGUCUGUGAGGCCAUCACCAGUAGAUCAACUGAUCAAGACAGAGGAAAGAGAAUCAGGGGAUACAGGUCUUAAGCCUUAUAUGCUCUACCUGCGCCAGAAUAAAGGCUUCUUCUAUGCCUCUCUUUCUGUCAUGUCUCACAUAGUUUUCUUAGCUGGGCAAAUAUCCCAGAAUUCAUGGAUGGCUGCCAAUGUCCAAAAUCCUCAUGUUAGUACACUGAAGUUAAUUUCUGUGUACGUUGGUAUUGGAGUUUGCACAAUGAUCUUUGUGCUAUCGAGAUCUUUAUUUGUCGUUGUUCUUGGCGUCCAAACUUCAAGAUCCUUAUUUUCCCAGUUACUCAAUUCAUUGUUCCGUUCACCUAUGUCCUUUUUUGAUUCUACUCCUCAAGGAAGGAUUCUUAGCCGGGUCUCUUCAGAUUUGAGUAUCGUUGACCUUGAUAUUCCAUUUGCAUUCAUGUUUAGCCUCAGUUCCUGCUUAAACGCAUAUAGCAAUGUGGGGGUAUUGGCUGUUGUUGUAUGGCAAGUUCUGUUUGUAGCACUGCCGAUGAUAGUUUUGGUAAUUCAGUUGCAGAGGUACUAUUUAGCCUCAGCUAAGGAAUUGAUGCGGAUCAAUGGAACCACCAAGUCUGCUCUAGCAAAUCACUUAGGUGAAUCGAUCUCAGGGGCUAUAACAAUACGCGCCUUUGAGGAGGAAGAUCAUUUCUUUGCUAAGAAUCUGGAGCUAGUUGACAAGAAUGCUGGUCCAUACUUCUUUAAUUUUGCAGCAACUGAAUGGUUGAUUGAACGUCUGGAAAUAAUGGGUGCUGUGGUUCUUUCUUCUUCUGCCUUUGUCAUGGCUCUUCUUCCUGCAGGAACUUUUAGCCCUGGUUUUAUUGGAAUGGCAUUGUCCUAUGGCCUUUCCCUAAAUAAUUCCUUUGUUAACACCAUACAAAAGCAAUGUGACCUCGCAAAUAAAAUAAUAUCUGUGGAACGGGUGAAUCAGUACAUGGACAUUCCGAGUGAAGCACCAGAAGUUAUUGAAGAAAACCGACCAGCACCAGAUUGGCCCCAAGUUGGCAGUGUGGAGCUUAAAGAUCUGAAGAUUAGGUACAUGGGAGAUGCACCACUUGUACUACACGGUAUCACUUGCAAGUUUCAAGGUAGAGAUAAGAUUGGUAUUGUUGGUCGAACAGGAAGUGGCAAGACAACUUUAAUUGGUGCAUUGUUUCGGCUUGUUGAACCCGCCGAAGGGAAAAUAAUUAUAGACUCCGUGGACAUCAGUACAAUAGGCUUACAUGACCUGCGUUCACGUUUGGGUAUCAUUCCACAAGAUCCAACACUUUUUCAGGGUACAGUAAGAUACAAUCUAGAUCCUCUUGGGCAAUUCUCAGAUCAGCAAAUAUGGGAGGUUCUUGAAAAAUGUCAACUUCUUGAAGCUGUCCAGGAGAAGAAACAGGGAUUGGAUUCACUUGUUGCGGAAGACGGGUCGAACUGGAGCAUGGGACAAAGGCAGCUCUUUUGUUUGGGCCGCACACUUUUGAAAAGGUGUCGUAUAUUGGUCCUUGAUGAAGCCACAGCCUCUAUAGACAACACAACAGAUGCUGUCCUUCAGAAAACGAUCCGGACAGAAUUCAAACAUUGCACCGUUAUUACGGUCGCCCACCGCAUACCCACAGUCAUGGACUGCGACAUGGUACUUGCAAUGAGUGAUGGGAAAGUAGCAGAGUAUGACAAACCCUCGAAGCUCAUGGAAACUGAAGGAUCUCUCUUCCGCGAGCUGGUGAACGAGUACUGGUCAUACACAUCAAACGGAAACAUUUAG
rnacentral:rRNA from 1 species